GCCCAGCCGUAAACAAUUCUAUUCACACCAACCCAGCGCAGGGAAUUACGAGCUAUGCUUAAAACCCAAAGGACUUGACGGUUUCCCACCCCCCUAGAGGAGCCUGUUCUAUAAUCGAUGUUCCCCGCUAUACCUAACCACCCCUCGCCAUCAGUCUGUAUACCUCCGUCGAAAGCUUACCAUAUGAAUGCUUAAGUAAGCCCAAUGAUCCCCAUCUGAACACGUCAGGUCAAGGUGCAGCUUAAGGAGUUGGAAGUGAUGGGCUACAAUUUCUAAGCUAGAACAAACGAAAGACUAGGUGAAACCCUGGUCACGAAGGCGGAUUUAGUAGUAAAAAGAAAAUAGAGUGUUCUUUUUAACAUGGCUCUGGGACGCGUACACACCGCC
rnacentral:rRNA from 1 species